AACCAAAAUACGGCGGACCAACUUGGAAUUUGAGCAUGUUUUAAAAAGAAAACAACACUUCCAACAUCGGAAUCCUGGAACACAUUGAUAAAGGAAAAUCCACCACCGAGCAGGAAGCUCUUUUAUUCCUACGAAACGCAAGCAAUGUUUUACGCGGUGACGAACCAUCGGAUAAAUCUUUUGUAACACCUCGCUGUUGGUUCAAAGCGAUCCACUCCACUUGUGCUGAUGCCGGCGUUUGUAAUAAAGGCUCUGUGGUAAAACGCCAACAGUAAGAGUCUUGUUUGGCUUUGUAAAAAGUGCGGAAGUAAUCGAGUUCGUCGGGGAAAGAUAAGCAGUGUGAAACUGGCUACCAAAAUACGGCUGAUAACAGUAUUUCCAGCAUCGGCAUCUUGGCACAUAUUGAGGAAACACCACCACUGAGCGGAUGCUAUUCUAUUCCGACAAAUCGCACGCGAACAACAGUGACGGACUUUCUGGUGCAGGAGCGCGGCAUCACUUCGCUUUCACGGUGGAAGUGGAAAAGACGCUGGUACCUGUCGACGGAACGGUGGUCAUUUUAGGCGUUUCGGCACAAACGGAUUACGUUACGGAUCGAAGAGCAAGCCGUUACAGUGUGGAAUCGACUCAAAGGCACCGUCCGCCGCGGGUGGUUUUUGCUUAUUAUUCAAUAGAUAGAAGAUCCAUUUCGGCAACACCAACGUUUCCGUCCCCCACGCUCACCUU